GCCGGGCAUGAUGGCAAGUGCCUGUAAUCCCAGCUACUUGGGAGGCUGAGGUGGGAGAAUCGCUUGAGCUCGGGAGGUGGAGGUUGCAGUGAGCCGAGAUUGCGCCACUGCAGUCUAGCCUGGACGACAGAGCGAGACUCCAUCUCAA
rnacentral:sRNA from 1 species